GGAGGCAUCGUCUAGUGGUAGGAUGGCAGAUUGACAUUCUGCAGGCCGGGGUUCGAUUCCCUGUGCCUCCA
rnacentral:tRNA from 1 species